AAACAAAUCUGUUCUCAUGCAAACGCUGCCAGUAACAGAAACUAGUAGAAGAUAAAUCUGAGACAUAUCACAUGUGUCGUACAAUUCCUUCCUAGUCAAAUGGAUUUCUGUUUGCCUGAAGUGUUCACAGCUGUUAACUGCAAUUUUUUUACAGGAGUAGACCAUGAACUUGAUGUAACAAAAGAUUCAAUAAUAUUUCAAGUUGGAUUCAGCUGAAGGACCCUUCAGAUUCUGUCAUGUAACUGACUACUAAGAGACUUUAACUCUUUCUCUCCCACUCUACCCCGCAUCAUCUGCAGUUGAGCAUUCUUUAGGUCACCCAACUAAGUGGUUCUGGAAGCUAUAAUGAAGGUAUCCAACAUGGUUUUCAUCUUCUGCCUCAGGUGUGUGAGGAUAUUCCGAUCUCAUCAAUUGGACUCUCUGCUUGAAUUUCAGUGGCUGAAGUCCUUAUCUUCCAUAACAGAGAAAAAGCUGUC
ensembl:lncRNA